rnacentral:tRNA from 4 species
AGCCCCGUGGUGUAAGGCACAUUAGAUUGCAAGUCUAAAGGCGCAGAAUAACUCCCUGCCGGGGCUU